GACAGUUUGGCCGAGUGGUCUAAGGCGCCAGCUUCAGGCGCUGGUCCGGAAGGGCGCGGGUUCGAAUCCCGCAGCUGUUA
rnacentral:tRNA from 1 species